GUCUCUACUAAAUGGGGACCCAAUUGUUUGAAUAACUGCAACGCUUCUUGUUACAACUCAUCUUGUGAUAAAUUAACUGGCUUAUGUUCAAUUGGAUGCAUCGGGUAUCAAUACUUUCCUUAUUGCACUGCAACAUGUAGUAAAAGCUUUUACGGUUUAAAUUGUACCAAGAUGUGUUCCUUUAAUUGUGUAGACAACAGUUGCGACGCUAUCACUGGGGAAUGUUUUAGUUGCAAGCCAGGCUACACAGGGAUUUAUUGCAAUAAUCCGUGUAGCGUAACACAUUUCGGUUCCAACUGCAGAGAAACCUGUUCUGCGCAAUGUUCUCAAAAUGUUUGUGAUCCUCAAACUGGAAGAUGUUUGACCUGCAUAC
rnacentral:sRNA from 1 species